AAAAAUGUACGUUUAGUGAAAAAAAUGCCCUUUGCCUUCUGGACACUGGGGUGUUGCAGAUACUGGUAGACAGGUCCUGCGAGGGUCAUUUUUGAGAACCUUUCCUCCUCCCUUUCCAAGAUCCCAGCGCUCCAUCCGGCUUUACACUUUCACCGCAGGAACUCCAAUCCCGUUAUGAUUCCUUCUCAGAAGGUUACAGUGUGCUGUGGCUAUGUUUUCUUUUCGACUAAAAAUAGCUCUCAAUAGUCUUGGGAUCCCUUAAUUUCCGAGAUGCCUUCCUUCUCCGCACUAGGAGGGCACCUUUUUGGCAUUCUGUGCCCAGCGCUUCUCAGUUAAAACCCGGGAGCCCGAGUGCGGCGGUCGCAGAACGGUGGUUUUUACUUAAUCGGCGGUGCAGACGGCUGCACAUGCGUCCCGCUGCAGAUCGCAGAACCCGGAAACCCGCUCGCCGGCACAUGCGCACUGCCUGCUGCCUGACUGCAGCCGGUACCCCACCCCGCCUCCGAGCCGGAGCAGAAGGUGAGGCUGCCACCCAGGGAUCAUGGCGUUUCUUCAGAAUCUUAAAGAAAAAUCCUCAGGGUAGGGGAGCUGGUCAGCUGCUUUGAGGAGAUUACAAAGAGGACAGAAAAUAUAUACCUCCUGAACACAGAAGUCCAGGAAGGUUCAGGAAGGAGAAAUUAUAGGAGCCAUGAUAUCAAUCAAAAGGGAAAGAAACGACCUUGAACCAUCAGAGGACAGGGCACAGAAAGAGGAGCUCUGGUGCAUACAGGGAGAUGAGAAGGAGGCAGAGAACUGGACGGCAGCACCAAGUCUUACCAGAUGCAGUAAGCAAGGCCUCAAGCAUUUCCCAGCCUAGGAACAGGGCUCACAGCCCUUCUAACAGCAGCACUGCUUCUGACACCCACAUUUCUGCUGACAGCAGCCCUUCCCACAGCCACAGCCACAGGAGCCACAGCCACAGGAACGGCAGCAGCUGCGGCGGUAGCAGCAGACCACAGGGCAGCAGCAUCCACAGCAGCCACCACAGCAGCCACAGCAGCCGGUCCUGUAGCAUCUGCAGGUGGUGCAGCUGUUGCAGCCGCCACAGCCACCACAGCCGCCACAGCCACCGCAGCCACCGCAGCCACCACAACCCAUGGUGUCAGUAGAGAGGAGUCAGGCGAAGUGAGGAGAGAGACUCGGGAGAGGAGAGGAGGUGUGAUGUCCUUUGUUUCAGGGGGCCCUUAUAUAUAGCUGUGGACAACACAGGGCAGGUAACCACUUCCUUCUUGUUUCCACCCACUUCCCUGGGAGAAUUCACAAGACCCUGACUGUAUUUCCUCAUGGACUACUUCUUACCCCGUAGAGUUACUUAUUUUAGUACUUAGUUCCUCAGGUGAUGCUUCUAAUAAAAACAUGUUUCUAAAA